CCUACGGGAGGCUGCAGUGGGGGAUAUUGCACAAUGGGGGGAACCCUGAUGCAGCGACGCCGCGUGUGGGAAGACGGUCCUCUGGAUUGUAAACCACUGUCCCCAGGGAGGAAAAUGACGGUACCUGGGGAGGAAGCUCCGGCUAACUACGUGCCAGCAGCCGCGGUAAUACGUAGGGGUCGAGCGUUGUCCGGAAUUACUGGUGGUAAAGGGAGCGUAGGCGGGGAUGCAAGGUGGGUGGAAAAACUACGGGCUAAACUUGUAGUCGCACUGAAAACUGUGGCUCUUGAGUGAGGUAGAGGCAGGCGGAAUUCCUAGUGUAGCGGUGAAAUGCGUAGAUAUUAGGAGGAACACCGGUGGCGAAGGCGGCCUGCUGGGCUUUUACUGACGCUGAGGCUCGAAAGUGUGGGGAGCAAACAGGAUUAGAUACCCUUGUAGUC
rnacentral:rRNA from 1 species